ACAUGCAAGUCGAACGGUAAGGCCCCUUCGGGGGUACACGAGUGGCGAACGGGUGAGUAACACGUGAGCAACCUGCCUCUGACUUUGGGAUAACAGUAGGAAACUGCUGCUAAUACCGGAUAUCACCUCCUUCUGCAUGGUGGGGGGUUGAAAGCUUUUGCGGUCAGGGAUGGGCUCGCGGCCUAUCAGCUUGUUGGUGAGGUAAUGGCUCACCAAGGCUUCGACGGGUAGCCGGCCUGAGAGGGCGACCGGCCACACUGGGACUGAGAUACGGCCCAGACUCCUACGGGAGGCAGCAGUGGGGAAUAUUGCACAAUGGGCGGAAGCCUGAUGCAGCAACGCCGCGUGCGGGAUGACGGCCUUCGGGUUGUAAACCGCUUUCACUCAUGACGAAGCGCAAGUGACGGUAGUGAGAGAAGAAGCACCGGCCAACUACGUGCCAGCAGCCGCGGUGAUACGUAGGGUGCGAGCGUUGUCCGGAAUUAUUGGGCGUAAAGAGCUCGUAGGCGGUCUGUCACGUCGGAAGUGAAAACUCAGGGCUCAACCCUGAGCCUGCUCCCGAUACGGGCAGACUUGAGGAAGGUAGGGGAGAACGGAAUUCCUGGUGGAGCGGUGGAAUGCUCAGAUAUCAGGAGGAACACCGGUGGCGAAGGCGGUUCUCUGGACCUUUCCUGACGCUGAGGAGCGAAAGCGUGGGGAGCAAACAGGCUUAGAUACCCUGGUAGUCCACGCCGUAAACGGUGGGCACUAGGUGUGGGGGACAUUCCACGUUCUCCGUGCCG
rnacentral:rRNA from 1 species